UCUAACUCCCAACCCAUGUAACUUACCAUUGUUGCCCGGCGGAGCCACCCUGUAGCUACCCGGUAGGGUGGUUACCCUGUAGCGCCCCGCCAGCGGAUUUUCAAACUCUUGUUAUUAUAUUGCAUCUGAGCGUCUUAUUUUAAUAAGUCAAAACUUUCAACAACGGAUCUUUUGGUUCUGGCAUCGAUAAAGAACGCAGCGAAAUGCGAUAAGUAAUGUGAAUUGCAGAAUUCAGUGAAUCAUCGAAUCUUUGAACGCACAUUGCGCCCAUUAGUAUUCUUGUGGGCAUGCCUGUUCGAGCGUCAUUUCAACCCUUAAGCCUAGCUUAGUGUUGGGAAUCCGCUGCUAUUGCGGUUCCAGAAAAACAACGGCGGUUCUACAGUGUUCCUCUGAGCGUAGUAAUUUUCUAAAAAUCUCGCUUUGGUUAGGUGCUGUGGUGCUUGCCGCUAAACCCCCUUUUUCUUAUGGUUGACCUCGGAUCAGGUAGGAAUACCCGCUGAACUUAACCAUAUCAUUAAGGCGGA
rnacentral:rRNA from 1 species